GUGUCUGCCUUAUCAACUUUCGAUGGUAGUUUAUGUGCCUACCAUGGUUGUUACGGGUAACGGAGAAUAAGGGUUCGACUCCGGAGAGGGAGCCUGAGAAACGGCUACCACAUCCAAGGAAGGCAGCAGGCGCGCAAAUUACCCACUCUCGGCAUGAGGAGGUAGUGACGAAAAAUAACGAGACCGUUCUCUAUGAGGCCGGUUAUCGGAAUGGGUACAAUUUAAACCCGUUAACGAGGAUCUAUGAGAGGGCAAGUCUGGUGCCAGCAGCCGCGGUAAUUCCAGCUCUCAAAGUGUAUAUCGUCAUUGCUGCGGUUAAAAAGCUCGUAGUUGGAUCUGCGCCUCAGGACUCGGUCCGCCCACUGGGUGAGAACUGGGCUCCUAGGCUAAUACUGCUGGUUUUCCCUAUGUUGCCUUCACCGGUCGCGUAGGGUGGCUAGCGAGUUUACUUUGAAAAAAUUAGAGUGCUUCACGCGGGCUAUUGUCUGAAUACUCGUGCAUGGAAUAAUAGAAUAGGAUCUCGGUUCUAUUUUGUUGGUUUUCUGAUCUGAGAUAAUGGUUAAGAGGGACGGACGGGGGCAUUCGUAUCGCUGCGUGAGAGGUGAAAUUCUUGGACCGUAGCGAGACGUCCGACUGCGAAAGCAUUUGCCAAGAAUGUCUUCAUUAAUCA
rnacentral:rRNA from 1 species